rnacentral:rRNA from 1 species
GUGCAGCAGUCGCGAAUUUUUCUCAAUGGGGGCAACCCUGAAGGAGCGACGCCGCGUGGAGGAUGAAGGCUUUCGGGUUGUAAACUCCUGUCAUUUGAGAACAAGUUGGACGCAGUAACUACGCGUCCAUUGAUAGUAUCAGAAGAGGAAGAGACGGCUAACUCUGUGCCAGCAGCCGCGGUAAUACAGAGGUCUCAAGCGUUGUUCGGAUUCAUUGGGCGUAAAGGGUGCGUAGGUGGCGCCAUAAGUGGGGUGUGAAAUCUCGGGGCUUAACUCCGAAACUGCAUUCCAUACUGUGGUGCUUGAGGACUGGAGAGGAGACUGGAAUUCAUGGUGUAGCAGUGAAAUGCGUAGAGAUCAUGAGGAAGACCAGUGGCGAAGGCGGGUCUCUGGACAGUUCCUGACACUGAGGCACGAAGGCCAGGGGAGCAAACGGGAUUAGAUACCCCGGGUAGU